UACGGAGGAUGCAAGCGUUAUCCGGAAUCAUUGGGCGUAAAGCGUCCGUAGGUGGCUUUUCAAGUCUGCCGUCAAAGACCGGGGCUUAACCCCAGAAAGGCGGUGGAAACUGAAUAGCUAGAGUGCGGUAGGGGUAGAGGGAAUUCCCGGUGUAGCGGUGAAAUGCGUAGAGAUCGGGAAGAACACCGGUGGCGAAAGCGGCUCUCUGGGACGGUACUGACGCUGAGACGCGAAAGCGUGGGGAGCGAACAGG
rnacentral:rRNA from 1 species